rnacentral:rRNA from 1 species
UACGUAGGGCGCAAGCGUUUGUCCGGAAUUAUUGGGCGUAAAGAGCUCGUAGGCGGCUUGUCGCGUCGGAUGUGAAAGCCCGGGGCUUAACCCCGGGUCUGCAUUCGAUACGGGCAGGCUAGAGUUCGGUAGGGGAGAUCGGAAUUCCUGGUGUAGCGGUGAAAUGACGCAGAUAUCAGGAGGAACACCGGUGGCGAAGGCGGAUCUCUGGGCCGAUACUGACGCUGAGGAGCGAAAGCGUGGGGAGCGAACAGG